rnacentral:lncRNA from 13 species
CAUUGCUUAAAAUAUUUAAGAAAUUUAGUUUUACAACUAUAGUUUUAAAAAUACAGUCAUUCACAUCCAGGCAAUAUAAUCAAAGGAAGUAGAAAUUGCCAAAAACUCUGAUAGUGAAAGCUUGAAAUGGUUGCUAUAAUUAAUACAUAUUUCUAUCUCUUAGACAGUGACUACCUACCUAUUAAAAUGUCUGUCUGACUUUUAAGAACUGGAUGACUAUCAGCAAAAUAUGAUUCAACCUUCCCUCCUGAGGGGGCCUGGGAGGAACAUGCCUCCGUACCAAUGAGCACCCAGAUCUUGAGUUCCAAAUUCUACCCUAUAAUAAAAUGUCUUGAAGAAAUGGAUCCCUUAGAGAAAAGACAGAUCCAAGUGUUGUGGCAAGUAAAAUACAAGUGAUUAAUGAGAGAGAGACUUCUUCUUCGAUAGCAUGUUGACCCACGCAAAUAUCCAGAUAUUUGCCUUAGGGAAGCAGACCAGACAAAUUCCAGGGGCUCUUACAGAGGAGUCUGUGAUUUCCAGAACAACGUGGGGCCCAUUCUGAUUGGCUCAGAGGCAGGCAGUACUGUGUUUCCAGGCUGAAGACCUCACUCCCUGUGUCUGGGUGAGCAGAGCUGGUUGGAACUGACAAGUGCUAAUUACUGCUCCAUUGUUUGCCAUUCUGAACAGACACCAAAUACAAGAUGAGACUCCGCACAGCCAGAAACCUUCUCAUCAAGUAUAAUUAGCUCCUCCAGAGAAGAGUCACAUCAGAGCCAGAAAAUCAAUCCCUGAGCCUGAUUCACAUUGGCACCUUGGUGAAGAUCUGGGGAGGACAACUCCAUAGAUUAUAUUUUUAUGAGAACAAGUAUCGCUCCAGUGGAAUACAGAGUGUUACAGUAUGAACUACUGGAUCUGUUCACAAUGUGUCUUAGAAUAAUAACAUGUCAUUUGAAUAAAUAAACAUUCUUUUUUCA